rnacentral:rRNA from 1 species
UACGGGGGGGGGCAAGCGUUGUUCGGAAUUACUGGGCGUAAAGGGCGCGUAGGCGGCCUGCUAAGUCGGAUGUGAAAUCCCUCGGCUCAACCGAGGAACUGCAUCCGAUACUGGCGGGCUUGAAUCCGGGAGAGGGAUGUGGAAUUCCAGGUGUAGCGGUGAAAUGCGUAGAUAUCUGGAGGAACACCCCGUGGCGAAGGCGGCUCUCUGGGACGGUACUGACGCUGAGACGCGAAAGCGGUGGGGAGCGAACAGG